GCGAGAUAAUAAUCGUACAAUAAGUCAGUUUGAGAACAGUUGCAUCAUUACUGUAGGCAUAUAAGUGUUCUAUUCUUACACUAUGGUGUAGGUUGAGAUAGACACAAUAAUUAAAUAUAGUGAUCUAUCCAGCCAAAGGGUAUGAUUUUGUUCGAUUAGUACCUAUGGUGAACGAGCGACCCGCUGGAACAGUGAUAAUAUUCUUUGCGUAUUAUCUCUGGAAUGUGUGGGUUAUUUAUUGAUUAGUCGAUUAUUCUGAUAAAUAAUCUACAAAAUAUAACGCACGUAUUUUGCUCUCAGAUGUUCUUAUGUAGAGUGCGUACAAGCUUGAUUUAAUCAAAAUCAUCUGUUACCGAUAACAUGAUUUGCAUGCGUCGCAGCAGAAAAAGAAAGGACGCUCGGGACCACAGUGGACGGGUGCCUUAAGACUUUAUGCCACUUAAGAAGAAACUAAGAGGUCUUUACGCACCAUAUCAGAUUUCAUUGAUUUCCAGCUACUGUGAUUUACUCCGUCACGAGCUAUGAAUGAAAACAGCUUGGAUACGCUAUUAUCAAAAAUCGGAGAGUUUGGACGAUACCAAAUUCGGGUUAUAACGUUACUCCUCCUGGUAAUCGCGUUUUCGUACGUUGCCUCAAUUUCUUGGCUAUUUGAAACUAAAAACCUAAAUUAUAGAUGCAGUAUACCAGAAUGUGAUGAAGAUGUUCUUGAUCUCAAGCCAGCUUGGUGGACUAAUGCUAUCCCAUCGAUUUCAAAUGAACCAGCUAAGUGCAGUAGAUUCAAAUCUAUAGGCAAUAUAAACGGGACAAAUUGUAGUUCCAUCGAUUUUGAUAAAAAUAUAUUACUCGCAUGCGAUGAAUACAUUUACGAAACAUCGGAACGAUCAAUUUUACAGGACUUUAAUCUGCAUUGUGACGAAAACUUAUGGAAAUUAACCACUGUUGGUACCUUGAAUAGUAUUGGAAGUCUCAUUGGGUUGCCACUGAUUGGAAUUUUGUCAGACAAAUAUGGAAGAAAGACUAUUCUUAUCAAUUCAAUUUUAUUAUGUGCAAUUUCCGGACUAAUUCGGUCGUUCGUCAAUUCUUAUAUUUUUUACAUGGUGAUGGUGUUUGUAGAUUCAUUUUUUAAUGCCGCUACUUAUACAACCGCUUUUACAUUAGCUGUUGAAUUUAUCAGCCCUAAACAACGAGUAAUAGUAGUUUCACUAAUUUCCUUGUUUUAUGCUUUUGGAGGGGUGAUUACUGGAACCGUGGCUUGGCUUUUGCAAUCAUGGAGGCCAUUGUUACAAAUACUGUAUGGUGUGCAAUUGUUAAUCGUUACGUACUAUUGGUUGCUUCCGGAAUCAGUGAGAUGGUUGUUAAUCAAAGAACGAUAUUUGGAAGCGCAAAAAAUUUUGAACGACAUUGGCAGAGAAAAACAAUUUAACGUCCCGCUGCAGACGUUGAAGGACUUACAGGCACCGGUUGAUCAAUUAGUAGAUGCUGCAGAUGUAAACACGACCCUGAAACAGUUCUUUAAAUCGUUUGCGUUAACCACUCGAUUGAUAAAUUGCAUUUUUUGUUGGAUUGUAGCCGUCUUUGUAUAUCAAGGAUUAACAAUCAACUCCGUGGCAUUGUCGACCAACACAUACUUCGAUUUUAUACUAACGGUGUUAAUAGAAGUUCCUGGAGCACUGGCAACAUUCUUCGUCAUGAAAACGUUUGGACGACGAUUUACGCUUUGUUUCUCAUUUUUUAUGUGCAGCAUCUGCUGCAUAAGCUUUAUUUUCAUUCCACAAGACCUUUACUGGCUAAGACUAUGCAUAUAUCUGUUGGGAAAAUGCUUUUCUGCAAUGGAUUUUUCUGUAAUGUAUGCAAUCACUACUGAAAUGUUCCCGACCCCUUUGAGGAAUUUGUUAUUAUCCGUUUGUUCUAUGUUUGCUCGAACUGGAUCCAUGAUUGCUCCUCACAUCCCAUUGCUGGUAAAUGUUAUCACAUGAUUUGGUUGGCAGAUCACUUCUGAUUAAUUAGGGAUUACUGCUCUGGUCUGCCGGUUUGUUCACUGGUUUGAUUAAUCUAUUCUGUACGAGCAAACCGAGUAACUGCAAUAAAUCAUACAGUGGCCAGUACCUACUAGUUAACGCUGAACGGCUAAGUACUUUGACAACUAGUAGAUUAGCUAGCGACCACUGAACUAACCUUUACUGUUAGCUAGAGGCAUACACGCAAACACUUUCUUGCCCGAUUGGCACGGACCGCGCCAAUCCUCUUGGAAAGCGUCUUCAUUAAUGGCCACUAAGGCACUCACGCGCCGCGAUUAUCCUGCCGCGACGUACACCACGAGGCCUGGCGCUCUUAAAACAUGCACACCUAGACAUACACUACACAAGCGCUCUUUCCUAUAAAAGUAACGUUAGGGGAUGUAUCGCGCGGGAUUGUCGAAUGUCGUGUCACGAUAAUCUUUCAGGAAAUAGCGCUCGUGUAUGCCUAUAGCUAUUAACAUAUUACCACAGUAACUUAUUCUUUGACAUUACCGUCAUUGUCAACUCUAUCAACUAGAUAAUACUGUGACUGUGUAAAGAUAUAUCAUCGCGCGCGCAUCAAUAUUAUAAAAAAAAUUACUGAAACCAAUGCAUCAGAAAGACAGACAGAUUGAUAAACAAUAUACCUAAAACCUCAUAAAGAAGGUUAUCAAAAUGUAAUAUUUUCGUCAAUGUCAUGACCUUUGUUAAAGUUACGUACCUCUUUUCAUGUGAAAGUUUUUCCCUUUUAAUUUGGAAAAAAUUAAGAAUAUGAAAAAAUCUCGUAUGUCAGGAAUCAGGAUAAUGUUCUCCGCAUUAAAAAUUUUUCGAAUUGUGAUUCUAUUAAAACAUUCGAAACUUAAUUGUAAUUUAAAAUAAAACACAAUAAAGAUGCCUUAUUUUAAACACUCCUUAUUUAAAGCUUUGAAAAAGUAAAAAUACAGCUGUUGUAUUUAUUUGUAUCAAGUUCACUGAAUUAUUAAAAAACGUUGCCAUAGAAAUAAGGUUGUUAGAAAAAAUAUAAAAAACCGUCAUAAUAAAUUUAAUAAAAAAGCUCUUGUCAAAUUGUUCUUCGACCCGGACAAUAUAAUAUAUCACAUUAGGUAAGAGUCAAUAACAACAGCAUUUUGCUAUUUCAGGAAUUGAUUUGGAAACCUCUUCCUCUAAUUCUCUUUGGAAUUACUUCGCUAAUGUCGGGGGUGUUGUGCUUGAAAUUUCCCGAAACUAAAGAUGUCAAACUACCCGAUACAAUAGACGAAUCAAUAUCUAUUGGCACGAAGAA